GAUGAACGCUGGCGGCGUGCCUAAUACAUGCAAGUCGAGCGAACAGAUAAGGAUCUUGCUCCUUUGACGUUAGCGGCGGACGGGUGAGUAACACGUGGGUAACCUACCUAUAAGACUGGGAUAACUUCGGGAAACCGGAUCUAAUACCGGAUAACAUUUGGAACCGCAUGGUUCUAAAGUGAAAGAUGGUUUUGCUAUCACUUAUAGAUGUACCCGGGCCGUAUUAGCUAGUUGGUAAGGUAACGGCUUACCAAGGCUACGAUACGUAGCCGACCUGAGAGGGGGAUCGGCAAAACUGAAACUGAGACACGGUCCAGACUCCUACGGGAGGCAGCAGUAGGAAAUUUUGCGAAAUGGGCGAAAGCCUGACGGAGCAAGGCCGCGUGAGUGAUGAAGGGUUUCGGCUCGUAAAACUCUGUUAUUAGGAAAGAACAAAUGUGUAAGUAACUGUGCACGUCUGAACGGUACAUAAGCAGAAAGCCCCGGUUAACUACGU
rnacentral:rRNA from 1 species